AACGAACGCUGGCGGCAUGCCUAACACAUGCAAGUCGAACGAGCCCUUCGGGUCUUGUGUCGUCUGGGUGUGUAACGCGUGGGAACCUGCCCUUAGGUUCGGAAUAACUCAGAGAAAUUUGAGCUAAUACCGGAUGAUGUCUUCGGACCAAAGAUUUAUUGCCUUUAGAUGUGCCCGCGUUGGAUUAGCUUGUUGGUGGGGUAAAGGCCUACCAAGGCGACGAUCCAUAGCUGGUCUGAGAGGCUGAUUAGCCACACUGGGACUGAGACCCGGCCCGGACUCCUACGGGAGGGAGCAAUGGGGAAUAUUGGACAAUGGGCGGAAGCCUGAUCCAGCUAUGCCGCGUAAAUGAUGAAGGCCUUAGAGUUGUAAAGCUCUAUUACCCGAGAUGAUAAUGACAGUAUCGGGAGAAUAAGCUCCGGCUAACUCCGUG
rnacentral:rRNA from 1 species